GACGUAGGGCGCGAGCGUUGUCCGGAUUAUUGGGCGUAAAGAGCUCGUAGGCGCUUGUCGCGUCGACUGUGAAAACCCGAGGCUCAACUUCGGGCUUGCAGUCGAUACGGGCAGGCUAGAGUUCGGUAGGGGAGACUGGAAUUCCUGGUGUAGCGGUGAAAUGCGCAGAUAUCAGGAGGAACACCGAUGGCGAAGGCAGGUCUCUGGGCCGAUACUGACGCUGAGGAGCGAAAGCGUGGGGAGCGAACAGG
rnacentral:rRNA from 1 species